rnacentral:rRNA from 1 species
CGUAGGUGGCAAGCGUUGUCCGGAUUUAUUGGGUCUAAAGGGUGCGUAGGCGGCCUUAUAAGUCAGUGCUGAAAUAUCCCGGCUUAACCGGGAGGUGGCAUUGAUACUGCAAGGCUUGAGUGUAGUCGAGGUAGGCGGAAUUGACGGUGUAGCGGUGAAAUGCUUAGAUAUCGUCAAGAACACCGAUAGUGUAGACAGCUUACUAGGCUACAACUGACGCUGAGGCACGAAAGUGUGGGGAUCAAACAGGAUUAGAUACCCUGGUAGUCCACACUGUAAACGUUGAUUACUCGAUGUUGGCGAUACACAGUCAGCGUCUUAGCGCAAGCGAUAAGUAAUCCACCUGGGGAGUACGCCGGCAACGGUG